GCGUGCGCGUACGCAGUAAUUUUCGAUCUCUCGGUAGCAUUAUUUAUAGCUCAUCGACAAGUUUAAUAAUUAACUUUUCAUAAUUAUAGAUUAAUCCGAGUGCGGCUCCACAUGAAGGUGGACGGGAAACGAGUAGCGCAUCGCAAGUAGUUCGAAACUAAUUGCAAUUGGCGAUAAAUCGUGGAAAUUGCAUUCUCCGACGCGAACCGAUUGCAUCUUGUUCGGCCGCUUGCUUCGAUAAAAAGUAUAUCCCAGUAAUGUAAAUCGUGACUUUUGAUAAACGAAAUAACGAGAUUAUCGGUCGGCAGAGCUCCUACAAAAGGUUCUUUCACCACGUGUGAAAAGGAAAUAAUUAAAAGAGUGGGAGAAAAGCAAAAUCGUCCGUUCGCCGUUGGAUCCAGUCGAUGGAUCCAGCCGAAUAAGCGAUAUACCUAUAUCGUCUUUAACGGCUAUAAGAGAAAACAACGAGGCUACAUAAGCUCUUACCCUGGAUGAGUACGAAUUAACGAAGGCCCUCUGAUUAUUAACUCCGACCCUCUUUCAUCUUCUCUCGCAACUCAUCCUCCCUCAAGCGCCCCUCGAAGGAUGGACAAGGCACGGAGAUGAGGCACGGACGAGGCGGCGGCUUUCCCGGGCCGAUCUGGCCCGGUAGAUACACCAGCGAUUUACACCAACGAUCGUACGGCCCUGUGACGCGCCGCAUGCCGCAUACCGCAUUGUCUGCAUCGCACGUAUGCGCCGUUCUCUGUUACACGGAUGCGCUCUCGUGCGGAGGCCGGCGCAAACGCUGCGAAAGCACCAGAAUCUAUCUCGCGCGUCUCACUUUCGAGAGGGAGGUCACCGAGCAAUUAUACAUUAGAGGAGCGCAUCGAGUCGAAAUAAAUAACAUUGUGGUCCACCUCUAAUUUCGUCUAGAAUCGUUUCGGUUGCACUUUGUCCGCUCGUUUGUCCGCUCGUUAGGCAGCUUGCCUUUCGAGUUUGCGCGACUUAACCGAAUAUCCCUGGCAAAUUCGAAUUCGUUCGAAUCGACGGAAUCGUUUUCGACGAUUAAUUAAAUCAUCGCAAUUUCCUAUGUAAAUAUUAUUUCACUUUAUCUUUUUCUUAUCUGCGUCUUCGAUGCAGCUACGCAAGCUCCUUAAAAAGAAGAGAAAAGGAAAGAAGGACAAAGAAAAAAAAAAAAAAAGAAAAAAAGGGACAAAACAAAAAAGAAAAGAAAAUAAAACCCUUCCGAGGUUUCGCCCAUCAGUCGUUCUUCCCGGGCUAAUUUGAAAGGGUUCGUGAGUUCACCUGAUAAAAUUAAAAACGCAUAUCCUCUAUUCUGUUUCUCUAUUGAACCGUAUACCUCGUUCAAUAUAAAAGAGAAGAUGGAUGUACGGCCGAUUUUCCUUUUUUCUAUUUCUCGUUCUCAUUUAUUGCGAACGGACGCCAAUGCCCGAUAGGACGCAAUAUUCUCCUUUUAUCAAGCAUGUCCACGCUUCGGCCCAUUAAUUACGACUCGCCCCCGACGGCGACACCGACUCGUCGAGAUUGCACCUGUUUUUGUCCGAUGAGAAGUAUAUCCACCGAGCCCGACGCAAUUUCGUUUCGUGCCACGCGCUACCGUAUCACCGCGUAGAACAACUGCUGGUCUAUACCAGCUGUAUAUCUGCCAUAGUGAAAUGUCAUUAAUGAAGCGUCAGCGUACCAUAAAUCGACCGUAAUUUUCAUUCUCUAUCAGCUUCGAAUAAAUUAAGAGGAUUUCAAUUUCUCUAUACGCUUGAUCUAGCUCGGAGAAUAUUGAAUAACGAACGAGAGACGUUUAUAGGAAAACACCGAGAAAUUUUAAAGAAAGAGUCCUAUUCUUUCUCUCUUCCUCUCCAAAUGGAAAGAUCUUUUCGAAGAAGAAGAAGAAUAAAAAGGUCUUCUCUCAAUUCUCGAAAAGUAUCUCGCCCUCGCUGUCUCCUUUUCCCUUAUUUCUAACCGAACUGACGUUUCUAUCGACGUGCAGCGGUAAUAACUUCAGUUUCCGAUGAUGACGGCCGAUCGAUCAAAGUGUCGUCUCUUGUAUUCGUUCGAUUUCCGGGCCGAAGAACAAUCGUGGCGUGCAAACGCGACCUUACCGUACCUACGGCCUUUCCAUGUUAAUUUCAAUUUCAUAGGAAUACGCGAACGACGAUCGAUAACGGGACGAAAUGUAAAAUUGAAUCUGGCCAUUGGAAAAGAGAAAAAAAAAAAACAAAAAGAAAAAUAAAGUAAUAACGUUUACGGCGACAGCUUGUCGAGGUUAUUUAAUAUUUUCGUCACUUACAUUGUAAGACUUCGAAUCAUCUGUCAGAGAAAUCAAGAGAGGCACACUUGGAAGAUUCAAAGACCUUCCUCGUUACGGGGCUUCUUAACGUGGCAUUGUUCUACACACGAUGUUGAUUCGACCCCUUUUUAUUAUCCUCGUGUCGCUCCAGAAAUGAAUAUGAGCGUCGCAUGCCAUGUAUUUUAAUCGUCGCAAAAGAACAUCUUUUUUCUUUUCUCUUACUCCCUUUUUUCUAACGCGAAACUCCAUUGAUGUUAACGACAAUUACAACGUCAGAAAUCGAUAAUAAAUCGAUCAAUGGCCGCGUGAGAUAAUGAUUUAGCGAACAUAUCAUAAUAGAAUAAGGUCGAUAAAGAGAAGGUGUUAUUAUUCGAUCGUUUUCCUAUUCGACGAGAUUUGCAAUCGCUUUAUUAAAAGUACCAGCUGUUGCCAAUCCGCUAACGCUAUCUUCGUCGCGAAAGUUUAUAAACUCGGUAUCUCUUAUUCUUUAAGAAGAGAAAUAUGCGGAUAAGGGAAGACGUUUCGAUCGUACGAACGACGAUGACUUUUCGACAAAUUAUUAUGGAUAGUACUAAGGGGUGCAGUCGGAUCGUCGCGCUCGCUUAUUCAAGAAGACCGUCCCGACCAUAAUCGACCGUCUUCUUUUAUAGGCGGAACGUGCCAAACGGGUCUCCAUAAUCGCGACAAAUUGAAAUUUGAUAUACAUGCGAUCAAUCGAUGAGAAAUAAUGCGAGACGAAUUUUCAAUUCGUUUCCUCAUCGAAUCGAUGAUCUUCGAGAGAUAAAAGAAAAGAAAGGCAAAAUAAAAAAAUGAUGUGAUCACGAGAA